AUUGAACGCUGGCGGCAUGCCUUACACAUGCAAGUCGAACGGUAACGCGGGGCAACCUGGCGACGAGUGGCGAACGGGUGAGUAAUGCAUCGGAACGUGCCCGGUAGUGGGGGAUAACUGCUCGAAAGAGCAGCUAAUACCGCAUACGACCUGAGGGUGAAAGGGGGGGAUCGCAAGACCUCUCGCUAUCGGAGCGGCCGAUGUCGGAUUAGCUAGUUGGUGGGGUAAAGGCCUACCAAGGCGACGAUCCGUAGCUGGUCUGAGAGGACGACCAGCCACACUGGGACUGAGACACGGCCCAGACUCCUACGGGAGGCAGCAGUGGGGAAUUUUGGACAAUGGACGCAAGUCUGAUCCAGCCAUGCCGCGUGCGGGAAGAAGGCCUUCGGGUUGUAAACCGCUUUUGUCAGGGAAGAAAUCUUCUGAGUUAAUACCUCGGGAGGAUGACGGUACCUGAAGAAUAAGCACCGGCUAACUACGUGCCAGCAGCCGCGGUAAAAC
rnacentral:rRNA from 1 species